CCCAAAACGUGGAUUGUCUACGACAUCUAACGGGCACCACAAGCCCGGGUUUGUUGUUCGGAGUUUGCUCUCCUAGGUGAAUUGCCUACCACGGCUAACGACCUCCACCUGCCCGGGUUUGUUGUUCGGAGUUUGCUCUCCUAGGUGAAUUGCCUACCACGGCUAACGACCUCCACCUGCCCGGGUUUGUUGUUCGGAGUUUGCUCUCCUAGGUGAACUGCCUACCACGGCUAACGACCUCCACCUGCCCGGGUUUGUUGAUCGGAGUUUGCUCUCCUAGGUGAAUUGCCUACCACGGCUAACGACCUCCACCUGCCCGGGUUUGUUGAUCGGAGUUUGCUCUCCUAGGUGAAUUGCCUACCACGGCUAACGACCUCCACCUGCCCGGGUUUGUUGUUCGGAGUUUGCUCUCCUAGGUGAAUUGCCUACCACGGCUAACGACCUCCACCUGCCCGUGUUUGUUGUUCGGAGUUUGCUCUCCUAGGUGAAUUGCCUACCACGGCUAACGACCUCCACCUGCCCGGGUUUGUUGUUCGGAGUUUGCUCUCCUAGGUGAAUUGCCUACCACGGCUAACGACCUCCACCUGCCCGGGUUUGUUGAUCGGAGUUUGCUCUCCUAGGUGAAUUGCCUACCACGGCUAACGACCUCCACCUGCCCGGGUUUGUUGUUCGGAGUUUGCUCUCCUAGGUGAAUUGCCUACCACGGCUAACGACCUCCACCUGCCCGGGUUUGUUGUUCGGAGUUUGCUCUCCUAGGUGAAUUGCCUUCCGCGGCUUACGAGCCCCACCUGCCCGGGUUUGUUUAAAGUUUGCUCUCCUAGGCAGAUUGCCUACCACGGCUAACGAGCCCCACCUGCCCGGGUUUGCUGUUCGGAGUUUGCU